GCACUGGCUCCUAGUUGCCGCUGGGUAUAUGAAGGGUGCCUGAUGAGAUUGCCUGCAGGUGUGUGCUGGGAACUCCACCCACACCGGCUGAAGCUGCACAGAGAGCAAAUAAAUACACAGCAGGCAGCAGCAGAGCGACAAACGCCAUCGUAACAGUAGGGGUGUGCAAUAUUUGGUCGACUGGGAGGGAUAUGGACCAGAGGAGCGAUCAUGAGUAUACCGCUCCUGUAUCCUCGACCCAUCCCUUAUCCGUGAAUUCCACUCUCUCCAUCCUGAUAAGCCAGGUAUGCCGCCAGGGGGUCGCCUUGUAAGAGGGGGAAUACUGUCAUGUGCUGCAUUGCUGCCCUCUGCUUGUCAUGCUGAUUGGCCUGGGAGGAGUUCGUCACACACCUGCAAGCAAUUCCACCUUGACUACUUAUACCGUGCCAUCACACACACCUGUUGCCUGCUCCUCCCUGCCUUAGCUUUCCUUGUGUUUUUGUUCCUGCCUGGUCUUCGGCAGUCGACCUACUUCUGCUUCUCUGCGUUCUACUUCUGGCGUUCCGCCAGUUUGUGACUCUUGGACAUAAUAAGCUGAGCUAGUAGUUAGUAGUAGCAGUGACAUAGAGGAAAAGAAGCACACGUGUCCACUCUCAUGUAAAUGCAAAUCAUUCAAUUACUCGUACUUAAAUAAACAGGCAUUGAUGCUUUAACAGUUACAAACCAAUGCACUGCUUUUAGAGGAACACAUUUCUUCAUUUAGUCCAGGGGUGUCCAAAGUGCGGUCUGGGAGCCAUUGGCGGCCAGCAGCUUCUUUUUUAUUGGGCCACGGCACAUGGUGGAAAUAAAAUUAAACCAAUAAAAAGGAGGAAAAGCUUGAAUGUUGACACUGUAACACAAAGCUUUGUCUUUCAUUAUACAUACUGUACGUUAAACAUUUUUACUAAAUAUAUAUAUUUUAAAAAAACAUACCAAUAUCAAAGUGGCCCCCACAUCCUUUGACUUUUCAGUAUGCGGCCCUCGGUGGAAAAAGUUUGGGCACCCCUGUUUUAAAUGAUUAUCAUAAUCGUAUUAUCCAAACUUAAUGUACUGUAUUUUGAAGGGUUUUAUAUCUCAUUUGUGUUCUUAUUAUAUGCAUAAUAAUCUGCUAAGCCGCUCACAUCCAUUUUAUACAGGUAGUCACACAAAACACAUAGUGUUCUCAUGGCCUGCUCUCAUUAUCUCAUCCACACAUACCUCACAACUGAUAAGCAGCUCAAGGAGGGAGUACUCAAACCAUAGCAACAUCCUGCUUACAGCAGCUGGUUGACCUUCACAACGAACAAAGGCCCGCUUCUCACAUCGCGGGUGCCACCCCACUUUGCUGAUUGGUCCUCAGGGACUACAACACCACACCUCCAGAGACAUCUAAUUGGUCCUCGGGGACUACAACACCACACCUUCAGCAGCAUCUGAUUGGCUCUCCAACAUCUACAGUGACGGGCGCUGUCUUCUCCCAUUGGCUGAGGAUCAACCUACAUUUGCAUCUAAAAAUGUAUAAGGACCGGGCAGGGAUAGUUAGCUGUGCUCUUCCUGUCUGACCCUGUAUUAAGACCAACCUCUGUGUAGGCCUAUAGGGAAAGACGCUAGGCCCGGAGCUCCGAUUGUAUUAGGUUUGUUUGUCAAGAAUAAAUAUUCACAUUUGAUUA